UGGGAGAGUAAACUCUUUGUCCCAUUGUAUGGUGUGAACGAGCGAAUCUGAUGAAGGCCAAGGCCGACCGAACUGUGAGAUGUGUAGUGGGAUUAGUCGAUGUUGGAUUGCCAAGAAGAAUAGUGCAAAUUGCUAAUCGGAAAGUACAGAGAAGUGAUUCUAAUUAAUUAUAAAAAAGGCAAACGUGCGUUGGUUAAUACGGUGAAAUAAGAGAUCUUGUGAGGCUCAACUCCACGUGGUUCGUCAUUGGAAUUCACGGUCCCAGAAACCCCUGUUAACGUGGGGUUUUUGUCCGGAGUGAUCAAAUAUCACGAGUACCUCAACGGCCACGUGAUCGCUAUAGUCGCCAAUUCAUCCAAGCCCACGUGUAAGCUCAUCAAGCCUAAACAGCCCUGGUGACGCCCUCAGGCCUCCGGGACGGUCCAAGACUUCCUGGCCUCGUCGCUGUCCGCCUCCAAAACCCGCGUUGAGGGUCUGUGCACCCGAACAACAUCAGUGACGAUUCCUGCCGCGUGUUCGGCAAGACAAAACGUUCGUACCAGCAAAUCUGCAGGCCCUGACCCGCUCCGUCAGCGACGGAAACAACGAAGAAGACCUCGUCGACACAUCGGGCGUGAGCGGCCGAAGCCAUCGAAGUCGUAUCAUCACUGCCCUUGAGUAUCCGCGAGGACGGCCCGUUAUUUUCUCCCGUCUCGCUGGUGGAAACAAGCCGCGCUUCUCCCACCGUCUCGCCCGCUUCGGAGCCCGCAAUAAUUUCCAAUCUCGCUGCCGGGGAACGAGCCUCCGCAAUCUGCGUUGAGGACUGUUUCGUCGUUCGCUACCGGAGUGGUCAACCGAAGGCCACGGUGCCCCAUCGCUACCAUUUCGAGGGCUUACGCUAUUCGCAUCAUCGACCGGGGAAGGUUAUCCCCGCCGGCGUCAGAAGCUCGUGCUGACGACUGCUGGUCCUCGGGCUGUCUACCGGAAUCGAACGUGGUACCACGA